UAAGGUAUUUUUGGAUUUUGGUUGUAGACGAUUUUUUAUUUGAUGUGAAUUGACAGUGGUCUCAAAUCAACUUAAUUAAUUGAAUUAGUUUGUAGUCCAUCAUUGGAUGGGGAUGAGAUCAAACUUGGUGAGAAUGGAUGGGAUUGCAGUGCUCUGAGUUUGAAAUAUCAAAGUUGUUUGUAUCAAUUCUCUGGUGAGGGGAAUGGGGGCAUGGAGCAUGAAGCAUGUCUGAGGGGUUAAAGGCUUACACACAGUCACUGUUAGUCAGCUGAUGUGGUAUUGUUUUUGGGGGAUCACAUUUGUUCAUGGAUAGAACAUAUUGAUAUUUUUUCCUCCGAUGGAUUGGAGAGGUUGGGAGACAUGAUUGUUGGUUGGGCGAUUAGAUUGCUGAAGAGGUUUUUGGAUCUUUAAUUUAUAGCUUUAAUAUAAAAUGUAAAGUGCGUUACUAAAUGCCUUUUAUUGGUUUUCAAAUCAUGUGACCUCAAGUGUUGUGUAUGGAUUGGGGAGGUUACUACUAGCAGGUUGCUAGCUUUCGUUGUUGAAUGAGGUUGAAAUAAAAAAAGCAUAACACUGCACUGAAUAUUUUGUUUGGUGAAACUGGAUUAUCGCAACACAACUCUUGAUUUGUGAUGACUCUGGAAAGUAAUCACAUUGGAAUUUCAAGUGGUACUUUUGAAGAAUGGGCUUAAUGUGGUGGACCCAAUUGAGAGUGGAAGAGCAGCAGUAUUGCAAAAGUUUAGUACAGUUGCAUCUCUGGAAGGAGGCUAGGUUGCUUGGAGUUGUUUGAAUCAUGGGAUGAGGCAUCAACCUUCACGCUGCUAACCAUGUAAUCAUUGUUGACGGUUCGUGGAAUCCUACUUAUGAUCUUCAGGCUCAGGUUUGGAGGUAUUGGUAAACAAAGUCAAUUUUUGCAUAUCGUUUGAUGGCACAUGGAACUAUGGAAGAAAAAAAUAUAUAAACGGCAGGUGACAAAGGAGGGACUUGCUGCAAAGGGUGGUUGAUAGGCAACAAAUGCAUCAAACAAUUUCUAAUUAAGGUCCUGCAUCUCUUGGAUUUGUAUUUUAAUUGAUGGGAC